CCACUAGAUGCAAAAGGGGGGUUGAGCACCAGCGUGUCACAGCUCCUUAGAGAAUCACCCUCCGCGUGCCGCCUCGUGAGGGCUGGAGGCUGCAGGGGAGCUUGGUCUGGGGGUGCAGGUCGGGAGCUCAGUGCAAACACACGAGGUUGCUGCGGUGCCUGAGCGUGCUGCCGCGUUCUCCAGUACGGCCCUUCCCAGCCCCAGCGCGUUACCUGCGGCUUUGCCCCUUUCGAGGGACGAGAAGGAACCAGCCCCUGGGCCUGGAAGCUGGUGGCUCCUCGGGGUCUUGCCCUCGUGAUCUGGAAGAGCAGCCUGCACUGGAGCUGCACUGAGCUGAGGAGGCAGGAGGAGAUGGUCUGUCCUGGGAUGUUUGGUCUGAGACAGGCUGCUGUCCCUAAAUGUUGGUGACUCGCUAACUCAUGGUGGCCUGGGGUCCCUGUCUGGAGAACGUCAGUUGAAUGGUGCCCAGAAGUCUCUCGUGCUCCC
rnacentral:lncRNA from 1 species